CCACAAUGGACGAAAGUCUGAUGGAGCGACGCCGCGUGCGGGAUGAAGGCCUUAUGGGUUGUAAACCGCUGUCAGGGGGGAAGAACAUCGGAAUGAACAAUACUCAUUCCGACUGACGUUACCCCCAGAGGAAGCUCCGGCCAACUCCGUGCCAAGCAGCCGCGGUAAUACGGGGGGAGCAAGGCGUUGUCCGGAAUUAUUGGGCGUAAAGGGCGUGUAGGCGGCGAGGUAAGUCGAAUGUGAAAUCGUCACGGCUACAACCGUGAAACUUGCGUUCGAAAACUCCCUGCUUGAGUACGGGAGAGGUGUACGGAAUUCCU
rnacentral:rRNA from 1 species